AGUCUGGAAGCAUGUGCGGGUGCUGCACUUUGCCGGAUCCAUGACACUACAGAAAGGCCUUGGGUCCUGGAUGGCAACCACCCAGGCAGACACCCAGG